AGUCACUGACAUUAGAUACCCCUGUAGUCCCAGCCCUAAACGAUGCGCGUUAGGUGUAUCGGUGACCACGAGUCACCGAGGUGCCGAAGGGAAACCGUGAAACGUGCCGCCUGGGAAGUACGGUCGCAAGGCUGAAACUUAAAGGAAUUGGCGGGGAGCACCACAACGCGUGGAGCCUGCGGUUUAAUUGGAUUCAACGCCGGACAUCUCACCAGGGGCGACAGCAGAAUGACGGCCAGGUUGAUGACCUUGCUUGACAAGCUG
rnacentral:rRNA from 1 species